rnacentral:lncRNA from 1 species
UAGCUUUAUAUUAAUAUUAUUUCGAUCUAAACACAUUACAAGUGAUCUAAAUAGAAAAAGAAACUACCAAACCCAGGUACAACGACAUUGCAAGUGAAGAAACUGUUGAUGAUUAUCAACCUUUCAAGCAUGAUUUUGAUAUAAAUGCAUUACCCCGAGAAGCAGCAAAUGAAGAACAGGUGAGUUGUUAUAUUUCAUUUCAGUAGCAAACAACAGUGAUUCACAUAACACAAAGAGAAG